AGCAGUGAUGCAGAGCAAAUCCCCAAAAGCAGCUUAGUUCGGAUUGUAGGCUGCAACUCGCCUACAUGAAGUCGGAAUUGCUAGUAAUCGCGGAUCAGCAUGCCGCGGUGAAUACGUCCCCGGGCCUUGUACACACCGCCCGUCACACCAUGGGAGUCGGUAACACCCGAAGCCUGUAGUCUAACCGCAAGGAGGACGCACGUCGAAGGUGGGAUUGAUGACGUGGGGUGAAGUCGUAACAAGGUAAC
rnacentral:rRNA from 1 species